UUUCUCUAAACUUCCUGAACUGAAGAAAACCUGUAGGCUUGCCUUUUCCUGGGUUUGAACUGGAAUAUAGGACACUGCCCACUGCCACAAAGUUGACUGUACAUCUCUGUGCACACACACUCUUGCUGUAAGGACAGAAUUGGAAUAAUGUAAAGUCACAAGCCAUUAAACACCAGAAAAUGGAUAUCAAGCUACUGAGGCUGCCGUUUCACCACUCUGCACUUCUUUUUUGUAAGAGGAUACAGGAAACAAAAACUGUCAGCCCAACAUAAAAAAGGGUCACUUCCCCAUAUGUAAUCAUCCCUGUGGUCAAUACGUAUAUUACACCUGUCCUAAAUAAA